GACGAACGCUGGCGGCGUGCUUAACACAUGCAAGUCGAACGGUAAGGCCCUUCGGGGUACACGAGUGGCGAACGGGUGAGUAACACGUGGGUGAUCUGCCCUGCACUUCGGGAUAAGCCUGGGCAACUGGGUCUAAUACCGGAUAGGACCACUGCCUGCAUGGGUGGUGGUGGCAAGCCUUUGCGGUGUGGGAUGGGCCCGCGGCCUAUCAGCUUGUUGGUGGGGUGAUGGCCUACCAAGGCGACGACGGGUAGCCGGCCGGAGAGGGUGAUCGGCCACACUGGGACUGAGAUACGGCCCAGACUCCUACGGGAGGCAGCAGUGGGGAAUAUUGCACAAUGGGCGCAAGCCUGAUGCAGCGACGCCGCGUGAGGGAUGACGGCCUUCGGGUUGUAAACCUCUUUCAGCACCGACGAAGCGCAAGUGACGGUAGGUGCAGAAGAAGGACCGGCCAACUACGUGCCAGCCGCCGCAGUAA
rnacentral:rRNA from 1 species